rfam:Citreicella sp. SE45 genomic scaffold scf_1113211290437, whole genome shotgun sequence.
GUCCUCGAUCUGCUGCGGACAGAUGAAGUGGAUGUGGCUGUCCAUGCCGCCGGGGGUGAGGAUCCGGCCCUCGCCCGCGAUGGCCUCGGUGCCCGGACCCACGACGAUGUUCACGCCGGGCUGGGUGUCGGGGUUGCCGGCCUUGCCGAUCAUGUGGAUGCGGCCGUCGCGCAGGCCCACAUCGGCCUUGUAGAUGCCGGUGUGGUCGACGAUCAGCGCGUUGGUGAUGACGGUGUCGACGGCGCCCUCGGCGCGCGUCGCCUGGGCCUGGCCCAUGCCGUCGCGGAU